rnacentral:rRNA from 1 species
CAGCAGUGGGGAAUCUUGCGCAAUGGGGGAAACCCUGACGCAGCCAUGCCGCGUGAAUGAUGAAGGUCUUAGGAUUGUAAAAUUCUUUCACCGGGGAAGAUAAUGACGGUACCCGGAGAAGAAGCUCCGGCUAACUUCGUGCCAGCAGCCGCGGUAAUACGAAGGGGGCUAGCGUUGCUCGGAAUUACUGGGCGUAAAGGGCGCGUAGGCGGACAGUUUAGUCAGAGGUGAAAGCCCAGGGCUCAACCUUGGAAUUGCCUUUGAUACUGACUGUCUUGAGUACGGGAGAGGUGUGUGGAACUCCGAGUGUAGAGGUGAAAUUCGUAGAUAUUCGGAAGAACACCAGUGGCGAAGGCGACACACUGGCCCGUAACUGACGCUGAGGCGCGAAAGCGUGGGGAGCAAACAGGAUUAGA